rnacentral:lncRNA from 1 species
GUGAAAUGGAGCAAGAAUCAACUGAUACACACACAGGGAAUCCAGACCUCCUUGAUUCAGAUGACAAAGAACACAGCAGUUAUGAAAGAUUGAAUCCAGGGUCUUCCAGCUGACUCCAUCACCAGAUCACCAGUCUUUUUUAUUUUUCACUUUGAGACAAGUUCUCACUAAGUUGCUCAGGCUGGGCUCAAACUUGUGAUCCUCCUGUCUCAGCCUCCCAGAGUACUAAGAUUACAGGCAUGCACUUGUAUGCCUUGCUAAGUCACUGGAUUUUUGUCAAUGAUGUGAGGGGGACUUUUAAUCUCGCCUGCAAAUGGAGAUGGGAUACAGAGCUUUUCAGAUCAUGUAGGAGAUGAAGGGAUAAUUACAGAAGGGAGAGUAAGACAUUUGUUCUGGAUGGUAAGCAAUUCAGUGUGGCCAAAGGCUAAGGUGCGCAGAGACAAUUUAUGAAUUAUGAACAGCAGCCGCCACAUCAAGGCACACGUGAGGGGCACGUGUUUCGUACAUCUUCUCCAUCAGCCACUGCUCACGCCAUCUUUUAUAGGUUCCACCACCUCUCAAUAUUGCUGUAGCAGAUGAAUCAUCGGAGGACACAAACUAUAUCCAAACUAUAGUACACAGAUGGCUCACCAGACAUCCUGACUCUACAGUACUCUGCUUUCAUACAACUAUUCAUUCAUGCAGCAAAUAUUUGCUGAGCAGCUGCCCGUGCCAGGUGCUGAACAAGACCAUGAUGAUACAGCAGUGACCAGCCCUACCUGGAAACACUUAAAUGUCAUCUCUGGAGGUAACAUUUAACCAGAGACUGGAAUGAAGUGUGAAAUCUCUAUCUGAAGAAAAGAUGACUGCAACAGAAUGGGGAAGGAAGGUAAAAAGAAGCCAAGUCAUUACACAAAGAGUCUGUUUUUCACUUUGUGUAACAUGGAGUUAGUGAGAAGAGUAGUGAGCAGAGGAGGAA